CAAGCAUUGCCUGCUGUCAAGCAGGCUUAAUGUUAUUAAUUUAAAUUAUUUUUCCCUUUAGAUAUCUACAGCUUAGAGCCAACUUACAAUUGUUUAAUUCCGAGAAACUGGCCAGGCUCAGACACACACAGUGCAGCAGUAGCCAGAUAUCAGCGAAGCCUCUUCUCAUAUUCCCUGUCCUUGGACAUCCGCUAAAGGGCCAACCAAAGUGCAAAAGUUUUUCCUAAAUGUUGUACUCCUUUCUUUUAUCUUUUAUCCUUUAUUCUUUAUCUUGCACUUUCACUAGCCUCCCAAGCCGAGUUUCCGCUGCACUAAUGUGAAUUUAUUUUUUUCCGGUAAAGUUUUCCGCUUUUGGCUGCCGAUAGAUGCCCGGGGACGAACGUCUGCACACAGUUGGAACUGGCCGCGAACUGCGAGUGCCGCUGAUAAUCAAGUGUCAAAAUUCAUAUUCAAAAUUCAAAUGCUGCCUGACGCUGGCGAUGGCGAUGGCGUUGCGCAUGUGUCUUGCGGGCAGGCCGGCGAUUGGGUGUGUGGAGAGUGGGCGUUUUGCGGCGAGUAGUCAAGGUGCCCCAAGCAGUGUGGCAGAGAGUCGAGCGGACAUUGCAGAGGGUGAAGGCAAAGGCGAAGGCAAAGACGAAGGUAUGCAAUUGUAAAUGUUUCAUUCAUAAAGCGCCCAACGUAAUAUUUUCAUAUGCACGUGACGCUCGUCGCAGCAUUUACCAUUUGCUGUCGCUGUUGCUCGUAGCACGAGUUCGAGUAAGAGUCUGUGACACCGGACAGCCGGUAAAGGACACACCAUAAAUGCCAGCGAAUGAAGACAUCCCCUAGCAACUCUCCCUUUUCGAAUUGUUUCUCAAUACCCAUUCUAAUUAACCCCAACCAAAAUUCCACACAUACUCCAACGUUCGCACAUCUUUCCGUCCAACUUCCGCUAAACUUUCACAUUUCUUCGCAUCCUUUUCUGCCUCUCCAGCAGUUUCCCAACAGGUUUGCAUGUGUGGCUUAUUAUUUGCGCACAAUUAGCGCUUUUCAAUAGCGAUAACAAUUAUGAUAAUAACCAAGUUGUUGUUCUACUCUUGGGGGAAAUCCUUUUGCUGGCAUAUGCAUAUUUCUCUCACUGCACAAAACUGAAGAGUUAGCUCGAAUUGUGAUAGAGUAACUACCAGUGUACAGGAGUAUAAUAAAUACGUCAAAAUAAAUAUACUCGCAUGGAGCAG
rnacentral:lncRNA from 1 species